CCUGGACGCAGGCGCCGCGUACCUUCGGCCCGACGAGAGAGGGGGCACGGGGCCGCAGGCGCGGGACUACAGCUCCCAAGGCGCACCGCGCGGCCGUCCCAGGGCAUGGCGGGAGGCGGGCGGCGCUGGUGGUGCUCUACACCAUCGUCCGUGUCGUGGGCCCGCAUACAGUGAAAUGCUCUGUUUUCCUGCUUGAAUAAAGACUUUGCGCCCCUUUGAAACAAAA